rnacentral:rRNA from 1 species
AUGGUGUUGCUUGACAUUAGGGGUACGUUGCAGUCUAUGGGUAAAGAUAUUAUUGAUUUCGCUCUUCCAAUGAUCGAUGAUGCGUUUGACCCAACCGAGGGCGAGGCCAGAGAGAUCAUCGAGGAAUCAACUGUUGAGUUUGUCGAAAGUGACACUAAAUUGUCAUCUUCCUUGAAUUUUGAGGAAAGUGCUGCAUACGACGAGAUACUAGCGGCUGUUGAACGCGGUGAUGGUGGUAUAUUCUUUGUUGAUGGCCCUGGAGGUACGGGGAAGACCUUCCUCUAUAGGGCAAUGCUCACCAAGGUGAGGGGCGAGGGCAAGAUUGCUAUCGCUACCGCGACGUCGGGCGUCGUUGCUUCUAUCAUGCCUGGUGGUAGGACUACCCACUCAAGGUUCAAAAUCUCACUGAGUUGCGAUGAUGGAGCCUCGUGCAGCUUCACCAAGCAGAGUGGGACCGCCAAGCUGCUACGGAUGGCCUCAUUGAUACUAUGGGAUGAGGCCAGCAUGACUAAGCGACAAGCAGUUGAGGCAUUAGACAAUAGCAUGCACGACAUCAUGGGAAUACGCGACCGACCCUUUGGAGGAAAGACUGUUGUUUUUGGCGGGGACUUUAGGCAGGUGCUUCCAGUCGUCAGAAGGGGGUCAUGGGGCCAAAUAAUUGAUGCAAGCCUCCGAAGUUCUCAUCUAUGGAAGAGUAUGCGGCAGCUUCGGCUCAUCACCAACAUGAGGGCUCAUAAUGACACGUGGUUUGCAGAUUACUUGCUCAGGGUCGGUAAUGACAUAGAGGAAGCCGACGAUCAAGGCACAUACUACUCCCUGAUGAUAUUUGUCUGCCAUCUAAAGGCGAGGUUGACGACCUGGAGAAGCUGA